rnacentral:rRNA from 1 species
CAGUGCGAUCAUACCAGCACUAAUGCACCGGAUCCCAUCAGAACACUGGAGUUAAGCGUGCUUGGGCGAGAGUAGUACUGGGAUGGGUGACCUCCUGGGAAGUCCACGUGUUGCACCAC